AUUACAGGUGCGAUAGAGGAAAUAAUCAAAUCAGCAAGAAAGGCCCUGAAUUUAACACACCACAAAACACACACACUUGCACAAACAACACAAAUGCACACACAGACACACACCAAUGUAAAGGCAUUAUAGACUAAUAUGUUGUCUCCUUUCUCUAAUUCUUUUUUUCUCUUUCUUUCUCACAGAGAGAGAGAGAGAGGGAGAGUAAAGGUCUGUUCUCACAGUUUGGUUAAUCAGUUACUGUGUUGUAUAAGACCUCCGUUAAUACUCUGUCCACACACAGACAGACAGACACACACAUACACACACACACACACACACACACACACUUCUGAGCAUUUAAAGCUGGGACAAAGAGACGUUUCGUGCUUUCUGAAGCCUCCCCAAAGGGUGUGUGUUUUUCAACGCGAACAAUAGCCGAGGAGGAUUAAAUGUGAGGAUUUCCUGCAGUUUAUUUAUCCUCUUCUGUGACUGAACAAGGAGUCAAUCUAUGAAGAAUCGAUUAACCAGUGUGAGGGUGUGGGUGUUGGGAGUCUGUUAUUUAUCCAGCAUCAAAUUUCCAGCAUGGCUAAUCCACAGAACAUCCAUGAACUAGAGCUACACAACACUGGAAGAGAUUCUUACCCCAGCUGUGGAAGCAUCUCCAGAUGUAUCGCAGGUUGAUGGACAGAGUUUCCAUGGAUAGCUUGUGGCCUCACAGGGGCCCUGUUUGACGUGAUUGUCCACAUCAUCGGCCGAAAAAUUGCCCGGAAGGACUCUACACAUGAAGAAUUCAUCAGCAAGGCUGAGGGCAUGUCUUUGUCUUUGGUAAAAUUUAUUCCUCCCAUUAAACCAUUACAAAGUGAGAGGGUCAUGACAUGUAAAGAUUCUUGAACAGUAGAAUUCAGAUACUAAGAAACAGAAGCUCUUAGGGAAAAGGUUGCAUAUAGCAUCUUAAAGUUUUCUAUAUUUUGACCCUCUUGGUGAACCCUAUGUAGAACCUAAAAAGGUCUAAAGAGUACAAAGUCUGUUUCCCUUUCAGAAAAGGUUCCCUUUAUAAAGCAAGAACUGUUGACCAUUCAAAUACCUCUUGAGGAACCCUAUUUCUAGAAGUGUAGGACUGUCUACUCACUUUUGGGGGCCCUAAACGACAUCCUAGUUAUGUCCUUCCAUCUGAAGUUGCAGACACAAGGGGCCCCCUAGUGCAUUCUUAUGGGGUCCCCUGGUGGCUCAGGGGCCCUAAGUGACUCCCCAGAUCAGUUACACCAAGAAACGGCUCUGUGUCUAUUUAAGCAUUAAAACUAAAAGCAGUGUAGAAUAACUUUUUACUGAUGUGUUUAUUAUGGUUUAAUGUCUAAUUUACAUUCAAUAAAAUACAUCCAGUAUAUGGUUUCAGACUCAUACAACUUACCAUCUCUACUGCUGUCCCUGAAGUGGUGAAAGCUUUCUGGGAACGCCAGGGUCAAUGGUACAUGCCGAUACAGAAACAGGAACACUGGCAGACUAUUCCUGAGCAGUUCUGAGUGUGCUUGGACUUCCCUAAUUGUUUGAGCUCCACUGAUGUAUAGCAAUAUCCCACAAUUACAAGUGAACAUAAUCCAUCUUUCCGAUUGCAGUAAUUUAUCCCAACUACAGCUUCAGGGUGAUUGAUGUGACUGUGUAUUGCCGAGGAAGCAAUGGUGGAAUUCUGAGGGCAGUCUCUUGAUGCCAGGACACUCAGAAUCCCUCCAGAUGUACUAAUAAGUGGAUGUCUUCUUUACACAUUUCUAGGGAAUGAAAUCUAUUCCUCUGUGCUCUCACCUUAUGCAAAAAAAUGCCAAGACAACAAUGCAUUUCCAACUACUGUCUAUUCUGGGUGAGGUUGGUGGAGAAAAUAAUGCCUUAGGCAUUCUGUUUUUAUGGUUCAAGAUGUAAGGUUUGAAGCCAACCUUUGUCCUCAAGAAUCUUCAUUCUCAGAAAAAACAGAACUAAACUGUAAUUUUGCUUGUCUCUGGGGUGGUACCCUCAAUGGUACAUCUUUUGUACCUUUAAUAUGUAUCUUUUAUGUAUGUGGCUAUAGUGUACCUUUAAAAAUUAUUUAAUGAGCAUAAAUGGACCUUAAUAAAUUUUUUCAGUAAAGUUUUAAAGGUACACCACGUGCAACAGGUAAAAGAUACAUACUUGAGGGUACCACUCUAGUGACAAGGAAAGGUAGUACUCAUGCUUAGGAUAGAGUUUUUAGAGAGGUGCAAAGAAAAACCCUUCAGUACUAGUGGCAGCAACCUGGACAGCAUCACCUCACCCCGACAAUGCUACCAGGGAGGCUUAAAAAGGGUUCCUCAAGGUUUCUUUAAACAGCUAUGGGUUCCUUGCCACUUGGAACCCUCCCUAAUGGAGAAAAGCCUCUGGUCUGGUAGUCCAAUUGGAGAGAGCAUCCAAUGUCAAGUUUACUUUAAGAAAGAGAAAGUUGCUGUCAUAUCCAGAAGAAUCAGUCUAUAGUGUUGUUUCAACAGGAAAAUCCACAAGCUCAUCUUCCCCCCUCUUCAUGCUAGGCAGCAAACUUUCCAGAAACUGUUUAUCUGGGUCAGGUGGCACAGCAGGGUGGUGGACAGGGGCAGCAGAUGAGCCAAACUUAAUUCCCUUCAAACAAGACACAGUAAGGGCAUUCAUACUUCUCUGUCAGGUCUACUGUUGUUUCCUUUCUCUUUAGUGAGGGACUCUUCUUCCCCUCCAUGUCAUCUUCAAUCUUCAGUCUACCUUCCUUGAUGCUUUGAUCUUCCUUCCUCACCUCCACUCUCCAUUUCAUCUAUCUUCCUGAGUAUGUCUUUCCUCCAUCUUUUGCCAUGCUUCUCUCAUAUUCUGUCCUCCAUGUCAUGCUAAGGCAAUCUAUGAACACAAAUUUGACUGGAAAAGCAAUUCACCAAUAUUUGUAAACCUACUCUUAAUUGGGCAGCAAUUAUGGCAGUAGUGGCUCAGUGAUUAAGGCAUUACACUAUGAUUGGACGGUCGUUAAAAUCCCAUCAUCGCCAACCUGCCACUGUUGUCCUUAAGCCAAACCAUUAACCCUCAACUGCUCAGAUGUAUCCUAUCUCAAUUUUAAGUUGCCUAGAAUAAAAGCAUCAGCCAUAUGAGUAAAAUGCAAAAUGUUUUUCAGAACUUUCAUGGAACUUUCAUCAUUUGGUCUGGUGAAUAGAAGGUUAGGAGAAUACAUGAGAUGCUGCCCUGAAAUUUGCUCCAAAACAGGAAACUCAAUGGGGAGCUGCCUUCCAAAUGGUCCAGCCUUUAUAUUUCGGGAGUGCACAAAUCAGGCCCAGAAUGUGCUCUAUCUAGGGAACUGGCUUCUGCUUCCUACGCAACGACAGUGUUGGUCUAAAAUUUGUGAAGAAUGAUGGAGUUAUAAGAAUUGUGUGUAUCUAAGUACAUAUCUCUGUCUCUCAGUUAGCUUACAGGAUUUGAGGGAUUACUGAGAAUAUGUGUGUAACUGUGUGUGCUGCGUCAUCGCGCUUAAGGAAUGCCCAGGAAUUCCAGACGUGGACAUGCGUCACUGAGGGCCUUUAAAUCACCUCAACGGAAGUGCAUUCCUCCCUCGCUUGCUUGCUCUAAUAUAAACCAACACUCUAUUAGCCAAAAAAGGAGAACAGCAAAAACGAACACAUUUCUACCAAUUACAGUGAGUCAUAUCAACUCACACACAUACACAUUUCUUCUUUCGCUCCAGCAUAGGCUACAGAGCACAGCGGCCGCAAUGGUUCGCGUUUAGAAAACUUUUCAUAUGUAUAUCAUCUCAGUAUUUUUUUUCAAGUACUCAGUUCGGUCCUCUGAAAAACUAUGCAGGGUACACAUCUGGACUGCAGUCCACCAGUUGAUGACCCAUAACAUAUAGUGAUCCUCUUUAUUAUGCAUGAUUUAUUACUGUUAUUUAACAUUUAAUGGCACAUUUGUAUAGAAGCCAGUAAUUUUGUUUGCACUGCUAAUAAAGCAAAUAAAGCAAAUGUUGAAAUCUGAUAGAGAGAGAAAAAGAAACAGAGCAAGACAAGGAGAACCAGCCAGACAGAGAGAUAGAGCAGAUAAGUUCUGGUUGCUGUUAAUGUUCAGUGAUGUUAUUAGUGAAGGCUAACAUGUGAAGCCAACACAUCUUUUCAAACUGGUGCUCAUGUACGUCACGAGGCAGCUAACACACAGAACUCAGAACACACAUACACUGUUAUUAAAUAAAGCGAGCUAACAUGAAAUGAAACAUAAUGCGAGAUAACACAAACUACACAUAUGACACAAAGCAAGCUAAUAUGCACCAACACACACCACGGGAAGCGUGCUAAUACACGCCACAUGAAGCAAGCUACGACAGUGUAUAAAAUAAGCUAAUGCUAACACACACCACAUGAAGCAAGCUAUCACACCCCUACAUGAAGUUAGCUAACACACACUUCAUGAAGCUAGCUAACACACACCACAUGAAGCAAGCUAACGAACACCACAUGAAGUUAGCAGACGCACACAGCAUGAAUUGUGCUAAUCAGCUCUACAGAUUAGAUCAGUACACACCAGCAGCAGGAAAGAAAAGACUAAAACACUCUUCUACACUUACUUGAAGUCAGUGUGUGUGAGCUUACCUACCUGGCUAAGAAUAAAUCUGUACCUCGUGUUUUUUAAAUAUUUAGCCGAGUGGCCCACCUGCUGUCCCGAGAUUCCCGAAACCUGAACCGCU